rnacentral:sRNA from 1 species
AGAGUGUCGAAAACCAGAUGCGUUAUGCCCAGAUGCAGCUGGAUAAGCUGAAGAAAACCAAUGUCUUUAAUGCAACCUUCCACAUCUGUGAUGGGAUAGGCACAGUAGGGAUUGGAAUUCUAGAGCUUGGUGACAUCCACCCUUCUAAAGAAAGGAAAAGGCCUGAGCCCUUCAGCCACUUAAAAACCUGGCACAGUGGACAGUUUGGCACAAUCAAUAACUUCAGGCUGGGUCGCCUGCCCAGUGUUCCCGUGGAAUGGAAUGAGAUUAAUGCUGCUUGGGGCCAGACUGUGUUGCUGCUCCAUGCUCUGGCCAAUAAGAUGGGUCUGAAAUUUCAGAGAUACCGACUUGUUCCUUACGGAAACCAUUCAUAUCUGGAGUCUCUGACAGACAAAUCUAAGGAGCUGCCGUUAUACUGUUCUGGGGGGUUGCGGUUUUUCUGGGACAACAAGUUUGACCAUGCAAUGGUGGCUUU